GCCUCAUUGGCUCAGGGGCAGAGCGUCUGUCUAGUAAACAGAAGGGUCGCUGGUUCAAUUCCAGCAUGAGGCA